rnacentral:tRNA from 2 species
GGGCGGUUAGCUCAGCGGUAGAGCAUCUGCCUUACACGCAGAGGGUCACAGGUUCGAAACCUGUACCGCCCA